ACAUGCAAGUCGAGCGGAAACGAAGAGGUGCUUGCACCUCUGGCGUCGAGCGGCGGACAGGUGAGUAAUGCUUGGGAAUAUGCCUUAUGGUGGGGGACAACAGUUGGAAACGACUGCUAAUACCGCAUAAUGUCUACGGACCAAAGUGGGGGACCUUCGGGCCUCACGCCAUAAGAUUAGCCCAAGUGGGAUUAGCUAGUUGGUGAGGUAAUGGCUCACCAAGGCGACGAUCCCUAGCUGGUUCGAGAGGAUGAUCAGCCACACUGGGACUGAGACACGGCCCAGACUCCUACGGGAGGCAGCAGUGGGGAAUAUUGCACAAUGGGCGCAAGCCUGAUGCAGCCAUGCCGCGUGUGUGAAGAAGGCCUUCGGGUUGUAAAGCACUUUCAGUAAGGAGGAAAGGUUAGUCACUAAUAUUGGCUAGCUGUGACGUUACUUACAGAAGAAGCACCGGCUAACUCCGUGCCAGCAGCCGCGGUAAUACGGAGGGUGCGAGCGUUAAUCGGAAUUACUGGGCGUAAAGCGUACGCAGGCGGUUUGUUAAGCGAGAUGUGAAAGCCCCGGGCUCAAUCUGGGAACUGCAUUUCG
rnacentral:rRNA from 1 species